GACGAACCGUGCGAACGUUGUUCGGAAUCACUGGGCUUAAAGGGCGCGUAGGCGGGCCAUCAAGUCCGUGGUGAAAUACUUCGGCUUAACCGGAGAAGUGCUGCGGAUACUGGUGGUCUCGAGUGGGGUAGGGGCAUGUGGAACUUCCGGUGGAGCGGUGAAAUGCGUAGAUAUCGGAAGGAACGCCGGUGGCGAAAGCGACGUGCUGGACCCCUUCUGACGCUGAGGCGCGAAAGCCAGGGGAG
rnacentral:rRNA from 1 species